CAAAGGAUACAAGGGAGUUCUGAUUCGAAGGGGCACAUGAACCACAAUGUUCAUAGUAGUGAUAUCGACAAUAGCCAAAUUAUAGAAAGAGCCCAAAUGUCCA